rnacentral:rRNA from 1 species
AGCGUGGGAGCAAACAGGAUUAGAUACCCUGGUAGUCCACGCCGUAAACGAUGUCUACUUGGAGGUUGUGGCCUUGAGCCGUGGCUUUCGGAGCUAACGCGUUAAGUAGACCGCCUGGGGAGUACGGUCGCAAGAUUAAAACUCAAAUGAAUUGACGGGGGCCCGCACAAGCGGUGGAGCAUGUGGUUUAAUUCGAUGCAACGCGAAGAACCUUACCUACUCUUGACAUCCAGAGAAGCCAGCGGAGACGCAGGUGUGCCUUCGGGAGCUCUGAGACAGGUGCUGCAUGGCUGUCGUCAGCUCGUGUUGUGAAAUGUUGGGUUAAGUCCCGCAACGAGCGCAACCCUUAUCCUUGUUUGCCAGCGAGUAAUGUCGGGAACUCCAGGGAGACUGCCGGUGAUAAACCGGAGGAAGGUGGGGACGACGUCAAGUCAUCAUGGCCCUUACGAGUAGGGCUACACACGUGCUACAAUGGCGCAUACAGAGGGCAGCAAGCUAGCGAUAGUGAGCGAAUCCCAAAAAGUGCGUCGUAGUCCGGAUUGGAGUCUGCAACUCGACUCCAUGAAGUCGGAAUCGCUAGUAAUCGUGAAUCAGAAUGUCACGGUGAAUACGUUCCCGGGCCUUGUACACACCGCCCGUCACACCAUGGGAGUGGGCUGCAAAAGAAGUGGGUAGUUUAACCUUUCGGGGAGGAC